UGCUUACCACAACUGAUGGGAUGAGCUAGUUGGGAUACAUGGUUGACCCACCCAAUUAGACUAUUUGUAAUGAGUUGGUUAGGUGAGAUGGGCUCCAUGAUAACUAAUUAUUUUAACCACCAGAAUUUUGACGCCAACCAUCCAAAAGGAUCGUGAUUUUUUUUUGAUAUAGAUAGACGGUCAUACCAUUCUAAUGAGAGAGCAACCUAAAUGAUCAAGGCACACAAGGAUCUCAUACGAUUGGCAAGCAGACAUCUUCCUGUCUCCAGAUCCAAUCCUCCGAAUGCUUUGCCACAAAGGUAGUAAUCCACCCUGCCGUACUGUUUGCCUCCCGAUAGACAUGCUAGAUAGACAACACCGCAAAAUAAUGAAAGAAAAUUUAGAUGCCCCGAACCAACAGAUGAGCCUCCAUAUGGUCUGAGCUGUCCCGGAUCCAACCAAUGACAGUGGCAGAAUAAACCUCGAUGGAGAUCCUCUCCGUCCAAAGAUCCCACACCGCAAAGGUGAUAUCAGUCCAAGCAGCAUGAAGCUCUGCACUGGAGACGGAAGACUCGAAGAAGUGGAAUCCUCCAACCACUAGCAGCCAAACAUGAGGAUCAUGAAUGAUAAAACUAGCUCCACCUCUAUCAUUCUUGAUACUGCCAUUAAAGUUCACUUUUACACACCCCAA
rnacentral:lncRNA from 1 species